rnacentral:lncRNA from 1 species
ACCUACACAUUGCAUAUAUUCUCUUCUAUUGAACUAUGUUUUUCACACACAUCUUCCUUUCAUAUACUUUUCACUUUCACUCAUCAUCACACUUCUUUUCUCUUUUUUACGUUAUUCUGUCCUCUCAGCACAUUCAUCUUUGAGAUCACCAUAUAUAAUUUGUACUUAUUUCUGUACCUCAUCACUUGUGUCACAACCUUUCCCCUCAAUCUUUCAUCAUACACAAUCAACUUAGUUGUACUCUUCUGAUCUUUCUCACAAUUUAUCUGAUGGUAAGGAACCUAAUUGGGCACCCAUCUCCAACUAGGAUCACAAUUAAAUUUCUUUGUUGAGUUCAGAAACUGACUUCUUCAUACCUAAUCAUAUUUUGUUCAAUUUUGUUUGAUGAAUGAUGUAACCAAUCCACAACAUAUGUAUGUAUGAAGUAAAUCAUGAUGGAAAAUUUUAAAAAACAUCAUAGAAGAAUAAACAUCUUCAUUCUGCCAUAUAAGUGUUCAACUGUGGUCUACUGUUAGUAAAUAAAUAAAGAAUAUUUGUUGAGCACUAGAAGUAAACAUAUUAUCUAAACUAUAAGUUAUAACCAUAAAUUGAUAUAAACAAUAUGAUGAGUUCACAUAUAGAGAUGUUUGUUAAUAAUAACAAUAUGGCCAUGAAGUUGAUGAUGACUAGUAGUAAUAUGAAAAGAUGAUGACCUUUGUGGCUAAAGACUUCAUUUAUAUACCACUUAAUUGUAGUAUAUUGGUUUUUGGUUGUCAGUACAAAAAUUUGUAUAUAUUUUGCAGAUGAUUUUUAACUACAUAUUGCUGCCUCCAGGGGCAUAUAGUCAUUUAGCUGCCACAUUCAAAUUGUCAUUCAGUCUUCUUUGGCUUGAUGUGGUGAAUAGGAUUUCUUUUUGUUAAGUUAAUAAAUCAUGAGGAAUCCAAUUCCUCACAGACUCUCCCAAAUAUUGAUGAAUGGCUUUGUACUUUAAAUGAAAUGUUUAAGAUAAACAGCCCUUCUUGGACAUAGAUGUUUGACAACUACACUCAAUUCUCAUUCAUUCUAAGAUCAUUAUACUUCCCAACUGAUUAUUUUGCACCAUUUUCAUCCACACCAACCCUACUUAUCAAAUUAUUUGCCAUAAUCACUCCUCAUUGCCACAACAUUCAUUCAACACAUUAUUCAAUUUAUACUAGAACUUUUCUUUUUCAUUUUCAUUCAAACCCUCUAUGGUAACAGAAACAAUAACUAGAAACCUCUCUAGACUCAGCUUCACUCAUACACAUUUGUACGCUGAUAUAUACUUUUUUGUUUUGUCAUUCAACAAUACAUCCACAUCACUUCUUGCUCAUUUACUGUCUCUCAUCCCAGACCAUAUUCCUACAAUAUCACAUGUUCAAAUGCAAUCCUUUUGAGAUGUCUCAUUUAUAUAUAGCACAUCUUGUCUAUACUUGCAUAUCUCAUUCACAAGCUGUUGUUCAUUCCUCAUCACUCCUUCUAUUCAAAUGAUCAAUUUACUUAUAAUUCCAUUUUUUAACAUUCUGUGAGGAUCCAGCUGUUUGCCAAUUCCAUAGAACUAAAUAAAUUAGACAAAUACAAUAUUUGAAAGAAAAUGCUUAUUCUUAAGUGAAAAGUACAUUUAUUUUAUUUAACAGAAGAAUAAUUAACAUUGUUCCUGGAGUUGUGUCUUGCCUCAAUGUUGUUUGUUGCCAGAGAGGUGUUUUCAAGAUGAUGGACCAGAAAGUGAAAACAAUGUGCCAUCUGGCUACCAUCAGUUUACUGCAUCUUUAUGUAAAUCAUCUGUUCAUAUAAAAAUUAUCUAUCUUCAUCUGUUUAGUUAGUUCUUCUUGUUCUCAUUUUGUAUUAAUCAACUGAUGCCGUCUUCAUCAUUUGUAAUUAUUUUACAGUAUGUUUUGCUGUUUUUGUAUAUUGGUGUUUGUGAAUAACUCAAUAAUCCACUAACUAAAUUCUCUUAUGUGAGAAGAAGGGAUAGUCUCCAAAAAUGUGACUAAUAAAUAUCUUAAUUUACAACUACUACAAUAUUUAUUUUGUUUUUAUUGAUUUCCCUGACUGUGGACCAGACAGCUAGAGCAACCAUUGAUGGCUUUCUCCCAUCAUUGCCAAAAAACUUCCAGGUUGAACUUAUAGUUAAUAGACAAGCUGUGUGUGGGUGUCCCAGUCUCAGAUGUCAAAAGUAUGGUUUUCUUUCUUUAGAGGUUUGAAAAUCAAGUUAAAAAUUCAUCAUCUUGCUAUUAGCCAAAUAUCAAUAUAGUUUAGUGAGGGGCUGCCUUCUUGAGAGUUCCAGACUACCCUGAGAAGAUUGUUUGGUUUUAAUUUCUAACCACUAUAGCAAAGUUGAACUAUCAAUAGUCUAGAAAUAUAAUUGGAACACAUAAUCCUUCUUGCCAUCAAGGGACAUGAAUCCAAAAAGGAUAAAAAACUGAUUUUGAAGUAUUUUUUCCCUUAAAAAUUAAAAUCAUAAAGGUGAAAGAAAUAUUUCAGAUAUAUAAAUGUACAGAAGCUUAUAAAUAUAAUAUUUAAUUUACCAAGCAAAUUUUUCUAAUAGACUAUACAAAAAGUUCUGGAGGCUUUUGGGUUGGAC